rnacentral:rRNA from 1 species
CGGGACACGUGGUAUCCUGUCUGAAUAUGGGGGGACCAUCCUCCAAGGCUAAAUACUCCUGACUGACCGAUAGUGAACCAGUACCGUGAGGGAAAGGCGAAAAGAACCCCGGCGAGGGGAGUGAAAAAGAACCUGAAACCGUGUACGUACAAGCAGUGGGAGCACGCUUAGGCGUGUGACUGCGUACCUUUUGUAUAAUGGGUCAGCGACUUAUAUUCUGUAGCAAGGUUAACCGAAUAGGGGAGCCGAAGGGAAACCGAGUCUUAACUGGGCGUUAAGUUGCAGGGUAUAGACCCGAAACCCGGUGAUCUAGCCAUGGGCAGGUUGAAGGUUGGGUAACACUAACUGGAGGACCGAACCGACUAAUGUUGAAAAAUUAGCGGAUGACUUGUGGCUGGGGGUGAAAGGCCAAUCAAACCGGGAGAUAGCUGGUUCUCCCCGAAAGCUAUUUAGGUAGCGCCUCGUGAAUUCAUCUCCGGGGGUAGAGCACUGUUUCGGCAAGGGGGUCAUCCCGACUUACCAACCCGAUGCAAACUGCGAAUACCGGAGAAUGUUAUCACGGGAGACACACGGCGGGUGCUAACGUCCGUCGUGAAGAGGGAAACAACCCAGACCGCCAGCUAAGGUCCCAAAGUCAUGGUUAAGUGGGAAACGAUG